rnacentral:tRNA from 1 species
GGGCCGGUAGUUCAGGGGUAGAACGCCUGCCUUGCACGCAGGAGGUCGGGGGUUCGAGUCCCCCCCGGUCCA